rnacentral:rRNA from 1 species
GUCGUAACAAGGUUUCCGUAGGUGAACCUGCGGAAGGAUCAUUACUGAAUUAAUGGAYGRGGUUGUCGCUGGCCUUCACCGGCAUGUGCACGCCUCGCUCAUCCAAAUUCUUACACCUCUGUGCACUUUACAUGGGAUGGCUGCGGCUGCCUCGCUUUGUUGCGGGGCGAUGCAGUUGUUCUGUGCUUUAUUAUAAACGCUUCAGUAUAGAAUGUCAUUUGCGUAUCACGCAUUAAAUACAACUUUUAGCAACGGAUCUCUUGGCUCUCGCAUCGAUGAAGAACGCAGCGAAAUGCGAUAAGUAAUGUGAAUUGCAGAAUUCAGUGAAUCAUCGAAUCUUUGAACGCACCUUGCGCUCCUUGGUAUUCCGAGGAGCAUGCCUGUUUGAGUGUCAUGGUAUUCUCAACUCUGACUUGUUUCUGACGAGUCGGCGUUGGAUGUGGAGGUCUGCUGGUGCUYGCCAUCGGCUCCUCUGAAAUGCAUUAGUAUGGAUGUUUAUCUGGCGUGCCUUCAGUGUGAUAAUUGUCUACGCUGUGGGCACCGGGUUUUGCAAAGUCCAUGCUUCGAACCGUCCCUUGGGACAACUUUUGACAUCUGACCUCAAAUCAGGUAGGACUA